rnacentral:rRNA from 1 species
UACGUAGGGUCCGAGCGUUGUCCGGAAUUACUGGGCGUAAAGAGCUCGUAGGUGGUUUGUCGCGUUGUUCGUGAAAACUCACAGCUCAACUGUGGGCGUGCGGGCGAUACGGGCAGACUUGAGUACUGCAGGGGAGACUGGAAUUCCUGGUGUAGCGGUGGAAUGCGCAGAUAUCAGGAGGAACACCGAUGGCGAAGGCAGAUCUCUGGGCCGUAACUGACGCUGAGGAGCGAAAGCAUGGGGAGCGAACAGG